GUGGUCACUUCGGUAGCACAUAUACUAAAAAUUGAAACUAUACAGAGAAGAUGUAGCCCCUGUGCAAGGAUGUCAUGCAAAUUCGAGAAAUGUUUCAUAUUUUU
ensembl:snRNA U6 U6 spliceosomal RNA